AAUAGUCCAUAAACAUCUGCUUAGAGAAAAAUCCUCAAAUUAAUGAAUAUAAUUUUUCAAACGCUCAUGUGGAGCAUCAACUAUACGAGUCUGUGAAUGAGCUAUAGAAACCGUAAUGUAUUAGAACGAGCUCAUGUACACUAAUUAAUCAACAUUUUCUGAUCGAUAAUCAUUUGCAUCAUAGUGUGUCGUGAGAAAGGCGUAUGAACAUGUAUUACACUCGGAGGAACACGCUAAUUGUUUGCUGAUCAGCAGAAGUGACUAUGGCUUUAACUGACGUCUAUAAAUCCCUGUAAAAGCCCACGGGCAUGUUUUAUCGGCGUUAUCACUAAGAUCCAUUUCUGUGUGAUGCGUCCAAGUCCUCGGGGCCGCCGGCGAAAAGAAUUCAAUCGAAUCGGCCGUCGCGUGAUAAGAAUACGACAGCAGGAAGAGUCAGGAACCUUCUGAACCCUGUGUGGCAGCAAGACAGCGAUCGGUUCGCGCAGAUCGUCAAGUACGGCUCUCCUCUCAUCCCUCGCUUUUUUUCUACGUGAAUUCGUUAAUGUGCAGGUUUACGGCGCGGGAUAAUGCGUCUGCCUGAGAAAAAAACCCUAUUGCGACUCGACAAUCGCUUCAUAAAGGACGUAUUUUUAAACAUCGAUUCUCUAUUGACGUGAAAAUGAGCACGCUCGCUCUCCUAACCCGAAACCGAGCUGACAAUCUGUAAAUGUUUCUUUCUGUCUUUUUUUUCCCCCCUUUUUUCCUUCAGACGCUCUUAAGAGCCUCGGCAAUUUAGAGAGCAAAACAAACUUUAUUUAGCUUCAUUAUGGCGAGACCGGAGCGCGAAACGCAAACAGUGGAAUCAUUCAUGCGCAAAAUCAAUGCACUGCAUCUUUCCAACGAGGAGCGCUGAUGUAGCUUCGCCUGCGGGUGGGGAGCUGCGGUCCCAUGAGUCUCUGCACCGAACAUUAUAUUACAACUGACAGGAAAGUAAUUUAAUUGUGCCGUUGCUAUGGCGACACAGGGCUCUGUUUGGGCUUAAUUUACUGCCAACUGCAUUCCGAGAGACUUCACGCAUCAUUCCUGACCAAAUUUCCCUCUCUGAAGAGAAAAAAAAAAAAGCAGGUGAUGAGGUUCAACAGGAAAUCAAACUCUCUCAUUAGGAAGGGCCGAGACGGCGUGGAGUCAGUUGAAGGAGGAAGCAGGACGGUGGGCAGAUUGGUGCCAUUAUGAACAUCUCCUUUCAUCUUCUCUGUGAUAGAUCGGGAGAGGGGGGAAAAAAAAACAUUACGGCUCGUUCAGACGCCGCAGAAGAUCAAGUGCGCUAAAAAAGACGAGGGAUCCAAGGAAGCCUUUCUGUGCAUGAGGCUCUCUAAUAACAAUUUACCCCGCCUGAGAAAAUCGACUCGGUUACUUAUCACGGCUCAGCGCGUUACGGCACCAAAAAGGAAAACAGCAGCACAUGAUACUAAAGGAGCACCUGGUGAUUGAUCAAUGAUCCUCGGCCGCCCACGACCCUGUCGCCGGUUCACCACUGUUCCUUUCUUGGAGCACUUUUGAUAGACACUGACCACUGCAGACCAGGAACAUCCCACAAGAGCUGCAGUUCUGGAGACCUCUGACCCAGUCGUCUAAACGUAAUUCUCUCAAACUUGCUAAAAUCCUUACGCUCACCCAUUUUUCCUUCUUCUAACACAUUCACUUUGAGGACAAAAUGUUUACUUGCUGCAUAAUAAAUAUAUCCACCCACUAACAGGUACCAUAUCUACUGGUGCAGACGCCUUGUUCUGAUUGGUUAGAUGUUGCUGGUUCACACCAUUCGUUUCCUUCCAUGUACAAUACACACACUGUUAUUUCAGUUAUGUUGUACAUAUUUGAUUAAUAACAGGACUCACCAGAUCUUUGUCCUUAAAA